rnacentral:tRNA from 1 species
GCCCUGGUAGCUCAGCCUGGUUCAGAGCACCCGCCUGUCGAGCGGGGAGUCGCCGGUUCGAAUCCGGUCUGGGGCG